rnacentral:rRNA from 1 species
UCGAGGAUCUUCGUCAAUGGGCGCAAGCCUGAACGAGCGAUGCCGCGUGAGCGAUGAAGGCCUUCGGGUUGUAAAGCUCAAAAGAGAUGAGAAAGGGAAACUUGAUCGAAUCUCAGUAAGCUCGGGCUAAGUUCGUGCCAGCAGCCGCGGUAAGACGAACCGAGCGAACGUUGUUCGGAAUCACUGGGCUUAAAGGGCGCGUAGGCGGGUUCUCAAGUCCGGGGUGAAAUCCCACAGCUCAACUGUGGAACUGCCUCGGAUACUGGGAGUCUCGAGGGUGGCAGGGGUAUGCGGAACUAUCGGUGGAGCGGUGAAAUGCGUUGAUAUCGAUAGGAACUCCGGUGGCGAAGGCGGCAUACUGGUCCACUUCUGACGCUGAGGCGCGAAAGCCAGGGGAGCAAACGGGAUUAGAUACCCCCGUAGUCC